UACGUAGGUCCCGAGCGUUGUCCGGAUUUAUUGGGCGUAAAGCGCGCGCAGGUGGUUCCUUAAGUCUGAUGUGAAAGCCCCCGGCUCAACCGGGGAGGGUCAUUGGAAACUGGGGAACUUGAGUGCAGAAGAGGAUAGUGGAAUUCCAAGUGUAGCGGUGAAAUGCGUAGAUAUAUGGAGGAACACCGGUGGCGAAAGCGGCUCUCUGGACUGUCACUGACACUGAGGCUCGAAAGCGUGGGUAGCAAACAGG
rnacentral:rRNA from 1 species